UGGAUAUCGAAUCACGAACGUCGGCGCGCGCAUCGACGUCGCGCGGGCUGCUGCGUCGCCGUGAGUCUCGACAGAGUCGGGACGACAACGACUAGCCAACUUCACUUUUGACGUAAAACAGGAGGCGAGCCAGCAGGCCUCGGGCCUCGGGCGCGGCACGCAGCACUCGUUGGCGGUGCAGCCAGCGGGAGGCGGCCGCUGGCGGUUGAACAGCGUGCGCAUGAAACUCGAGCCGCUGUUGGUGUUCGUCGCGUCACCGCCGCCCUCGCGUUCGCAUUUGCUGUCUCCGUGCGAACUGUCGCGAGCGUACGCCACGUAGUGACCGCCGGUGGGUGUUCCGGUGGCCGUUUAGCACAGGGCUCACAAAAGCAAGGCAUAAGUAGUGGAGUGGGUGCGUGUCUAGUGAUUUUCUCCAUGCCGCCGCUGAACCGCUUCAGUUGGAGUACUAAUAGCCUGGGCAGUCGCGAGUAUGCUACACUUCGUCUCGCCUCGUUGUAACGUAGACAACGCUCACACCAAUACUAGAAAUAAAUUCGAAGUUUUGUAAAGUUAAUAAAUAAUUGAGUUGUUAAUUAGUUGACCGCGAGAUAACAUAAAAAUAUUGUUUAAAAUAUAAUAUUUUAUAUUACAGUAAUUUUUUUAUCUAAAAGAUUUACA